rnacentral:rRNA from 1 species
GACGAACGCUGGCGGCGUGCUUAACACAUGCAAGUCGAACGGAAAGGCCCUGCUUUUGUGGGGUGCUCGAGUGGCGAACGGGUGAGUAACACGUGAGUAACCUGCCCUUGACUUUGGGAUAACUUCAGGAAACUGGGGCUAAUACCGGAUAGUAGCUCCUGCUGCAUGGUGGGGGUUUGAAAGUUUCGGCGGUUGGGGAUGGACUCGCGGCUUAUCAGCUUGUUGGUGGGGUAGUGGCUUACCAAGGCUUUGACGGGUAGCCGGCCUGAGAGGGUGACCGGACACAUUGGGACUGAGAUACGGCCCAGACUCCUACGGGAGGCAGCAGUGGGGAAUAUUGCACAAUGGGCGGAAGCCUGAUGCAGCAACGCCGCGUGCGGGAUGACGGCCUUCGGGUUGUAAACCGCUUUCGCCUGUGACGAAGCGUGAGUGACGGUAAUGGGUAAAGAAGCACCGGCUAACUACGUG